AUUGAACGCUGGCGGCAUGCUUUACACAUGCAAGUCGAACGGCAGCGCGGGCUUCGGCCUGGCGGCGAGUGGCGAACGGGUGAGUAAUGCAUCGGAACGUGCCCAGUAGUGGGGGAUAGCCCGGCGAAAGCCGGAUUAAUACCGCAUACGACCUGAGGGUGAAAGUGGGGGACCGAAAGGCCUCGCGCUAUUGGAGCGGCCGAUGUCGGAUUAGCUAGUUGGUGGGGUAAAGGCUUACCAAGGCGAGGAUCCGUAGCUGGUCUGAGAGGACGACCAGCCACACUGGGACUGAGGCACGGCCCAGACUCCUACGGGAGGCAGCAGUGGGGAAUUUUGGACAAUGGGGGCAACCCUGAUCCAGCCAUGCCGCUUGCGGGAAGAAGGCCUUCGGGUUGUAAACCGCUUUUGUUCGGGAAGAAAUGCUCUGGGCUAAUACCCCGGGGGGAUGACGGUACCGGAAGAAUAAGCACCGGCUAACUACGUG
rnacentral:rRNA from 1 species